CAAGUCGAACGAGGUGGCCCAUUGAAGGAUGCGUGCUUGCACAAUCUGGAUUUGGAUUCCCACCUAGUGGCAGACGGGUGAGUAACACGUGGGUGACCUACCUUUAAGCUGGGGAUAACAGUUGGAAACGAUUGCUAAUACCGAAUAAUGUGUAACUAUCAAGGUUAUACUGAAAGGAGCCUUUAAAGCUUCACUUAGAGAUGGGCCUGCGGCGUAUUAACUAGUUGGUAGGGUAAUGGCCUACCAGGUAACGAUGCGUAGCCGAACUGAGAGGUUGAUCGGCCACACUGGGACUGAGACACGGCCCAGACUCCUACGGGAGACAGCAGUUAGGGAUAUUCGUCAAUGGGGGAAACCCUGAACGAGCAAUGCCGCGUGAAGUGAUGAAGGUCUUUGGAUUGUAAAACUCUGUUGUAUGGAAAAAACGACUAGGUUAGGAAAUGAACUUAGUGUGAUGGUACCAUACCAGAAAGCCCCGGCUAACUACGUGCCAGCCGCGGC
rnacentral:rRNA from 1 species